rnacentral:rRNA from 1 species
CCUACGGGAGGCAGCAGUAGGGAAUUUUCCACAAUGGACGAAAGUCUGAUGGAGCAACGCCGCGUGAACGAUGAAGGUCUUCGGAUUGUAAAGUUCUGUUGUUAGGGACGAAUAAGUACCGUUCGAAUAGGGCGGUACCUUGACGGUACCUGACGAGAAAGCCACGGCUAACUACGUGCCAGCAGCCGCGGUAAU